GGUUUGUCUGAAGGAUCUAGGGUUAAUUGGGAAGCUUUUUCUUUUGAGGGGAAUGUUGUCUGGCUCGAGGCCACUAACUAGAUCUUUGAUUUAAUCUCAGUUGAUCAUAUAUUUGUUUCAUUUUUCUUCCAUAAAAUUUAAUUAUAUUGAGAUACCCAUCAUUGAUCUUAAGAUAAUUAAGUUAGUGACGUCGGACCAGGCUUCAUUCCCCCCAAUAAUUGCUUCUAUCUGCUAUGAUAUCAUCUUCAUUUCUUGGAGGUGCUGUGAUCAGUUCUCAAACUUUAGUUGAUUUUUUCACAAUUUUUCUUUUUGUUUAAUUUAUUGAUCUUGUGUUGUGUAUAUUUGUAUGGUCAACGGAGAGAUCUUGGUCAUUGGCCAUGAGCAGAUUGGUGUAAUGAUGAAAGAUUUUGACUG
rnacentral:pre_miRNA from 1 species